rnacentral:rRNA from 1 species
UACGGGGGGGGCAAGCGUUGUUCGGAAUUACUGGGCGUAAAGGGCUCGUAGGUGGCCAACUAAGUCGGACGUGAAAUCCCUCGGCUUAACCGGGGAACUGCGUCUGAUACUGGAUGGCUUGAGUUCGGGAGAGGGAUGCGGAAUUCCAGGUGUAGCGGUGAAAUGCGUAGAUAUCUGGAGGAACACCGGUGGCGAAGGCGGCAUCCUGGACCAACACUGACGCUGAGUGAGCGAAAGCCAGGGGAGCAAACGGG